GUUUGAGCCAACGUUUUGUGCAUUGUUAAAAUAUUCAUUACAAUAAUGCAAUUGAAUGUUUGCAAACGGAUCGCAUUGGAACUGUGAAGGUCUCAAGAAUCUGAGAGGCGUAAUCAAUGUAAACGUGAUCUGUGGAUUUAGAAUAUUUCGCAUCUCCGCUAUUCGUUCGGUCAUUGGCAAAGGUUGUUUGAAUAGCGAUAUACGCAACGUUUUCGAUACUACGUAGUUCUGAGGUGAAAUAAAUAUGUAAAUGGACCAAAAUAACUAUCAGAGUUAAUUCACGGUACGUAGGUAGUUGCGGGAUGAUCAGAUGCUCGGUUGACAGAGAUCGAACAACGAACAAAAAAAACUCGCUAUUCAUUCAGCCCCGUGAUAUUUGGUAGUAAACGGUCCAAAAAAAAAAAAACAUACGCGAAGAAUCCGAAACAUUGAACUGCGUGUGAAAAAAUACUACACAUAUCCGAAAGUUUCAGAAACGUAUGUGGCCUCGAUCGGCAAGAGAAUGAGCUUAAGAACGCAUCGCAGCAUUUCAGUCUAAGGUUUCAGUAUCCACGCGAAUGAUGUAAUAGAAUUGACAGCCCACUUCAGUCAGCUCAGCUGCAGACUGAACACCGCUAUCUGGAUCUUCUAGUUUCUCUUUAAGCCUAGGAAAAGCUGGCCGCAGAGCCUCGGGAAACCGGAGGAAGACUUUAUACAUCAUUAACACAGCUUUCUUUCGGAGAUAUGGC